rnacentral:rRNA from 1 species
CUACGGGGGGCUGCAGUGAGGAAUAUUGCACAAUGGGGGGAACCCUGAUGCAGCAACGCCGCGUGGAGGAUGACGCAUUUCGGUGUGUAAACUCCUUUUAUAUGUCAAGAAAAUGACGGUAGCAUAUGAAUAAGCACCGGCUAACUCCGUGCCAGCAGCCGCGGUAAUAGGAGGGUGCAAGCGUUACUCGGAAUCACUGGGCGUAAAGGACGCGUAGGCGGGUUGGAAAGUCAGGUGUGAAAUCCUACAGCUUAACUGUAGAACUGCACUUGAAACUUCUAUUCUAGAGUAUGGGAGGGGGAGAUGGAAUUAGUGGUGUAGGGGUAAAAUCCGUAGAUAUCACUAGGAAUACCUAAAGCGAAGGCGAUCUCCUGGAACAUUACUGACGCUAAGGCGUGAAAGCGUGGGGAGCAAACAGGAUUAGAUACCCCGGUAGUC